CUUGGUGAGAUGCUAGUGUUGCCUAAAAUCUAAGAAAAAUUCUCUGGACAGUUUGUCAAACUAAGGGAGAGAUCAGGUCUUUAUUAAGGCCUUAAGGUGCAUAAAAUACAUCUAGCACAAGCACACAGAAUAACUGUUACAAUUUUAUAAUACUGAUUAAUCAUCAUAUCUAACUAUUACAUCAUGGUUACACCUGGCCCAAAAACUGUCCAUCAUGCAGAGUACCCUCAGGCCCUUCCCUAGGCAUGCCUCCCCGAAUUGGGUUGGUGGUGCCAAGAAAACAGUGCUUUAUCCCUCCUUCAUCUUCAUCAUCCCUCUCUGUCCUGCUUGGUCCUCUUUGAAGGAUCCUGUGUCUUCUCUAAUAGUUUACUCCAAA